ensembl:lncRNA
GGUGGCUGGCAGCAGAGAGUCAAGGCCGUCCGGGGAGCUGGGAGCCCCCAGGGACAACCCGCCAUGCCAGGGGAGCAUUCUGGAGAGCUAGGAGCCUGAGCCCAAGACUCUGCCCAGAUGACCUCCAUUAUGACACAGCUGCUACCAGGCCUUCACAGCCUAAAACAUCACAGAGUGCCUGCAGGUGGCCGGAGAGCAAUGCUGAGCCCUGCCCUCUCCUGCAACUUGGACUUGGAGACCACAGGGAAGGAGACUUCAGGGUCUUGAGGACUGGGAGGAGCCACAGCCCAGGAGGAGGGCACAUCUGAGCCCCGGGAAUGAGCCCACACCCAGGGCGGCCCCCACUGGAGCCCAUAGCCCAUCCUGCCUCCUACAUGCUAGUGGGUGGGGUACCAGAAGGCCCCUGGCUCAGCCCCAUAUCUGCUCCAGCCAGGGUCAGGGGCUGAGGUGUGCCCCCGGGAAAGGGCCUGCCUCUGCCCCACAGUGGGGAUGGGAAGUGGGUGCCCAGCAGGCCCUCCUGAGAGUGAAUGCAGGAGGGUGGAAGGAUGGACUUUAAGCUUGUCCAGGUGCACUUCUGCUGGAGCAGUGGCCAAGAGCAGGCUGGAACCAUGAGGGGGAGGCAGGAGCUGCGACAGGCCCUGGGUUGGGCCCCCAGAAUGGCUGGAGCGUUGCAUCCUCUCAACAGUGUGUGAGGUGGAUGCCACUGUCUGCAUUCUGCUCGUAAGAAGGCCGAGGCACAUAGAGGAAAGCUGAGCACAAGCAAAGCCACUCCCCAGUCUGAUUCCCAUGAUCUACAAAUGGCAAUGCCACAGGGGCCUGCAGGAAAGGGGGUGGCCUCCCAUCACAGGAAAACAACUCCACCCCAUCUACAUGACACUGAGGUCAAAUCAGGUGUGUGGCGCUGGGAGGCCGGAAAAACUGAAACCUUCCCUUCUCCUGAUACUCCAGAAGUUCUCAGUAAAAGCUCAGCAGGCCUGGCUGCCCCAUUUAAUUUUCAUAAUUAGCUGACAGCUCAUUAGCAGCUCAUUAGAAGCCCUGGAAAUGCAGUGACAGUAACAAAUUUGGUGCAACCAGGCAGUCUGGGGGUGUCCCCAGGGGCCUGACCCACGCUGGGCUUGUGGGUACCGGCAUGGGGUAGGGGGCGGGAAGCUACUGGGAAUGAGCUCAGCUUCUGUGCCCAUGUCUGAAUCCUCAGAGCCUGAAUCCUAGUCCUUGGAUCCCAUUAAAACAUGCCCCCCUCCAACCACCUGCCCACUGCCACUUUCCAGCCCCACCUCCAGCUGCAGGACACUCAGCUACCCUCCUGUGGGCUUCUCUCCCUUGAGGACCAGGUAGGAGGAGGCAGGCUGGCUCCAAGACAAGGUAGGGUACUCCAAAG